UACGUAGGGGGCUAGCGUUGUCCGGAUUUAUUGGGUCGUAAAGAGCGUGUAGGCGGCCAGACAGGUCUGCUGUGAAAACUCGAGGCUCAACCUCGAGAUGUCGGCGGAAACCGUCUGGCUAGAGUCCGGAAGAGGAGAGUGGAAUUCCUGGUGUAGCGGUGAAAUGCGCAGAUAUCAGGAAGAACACCUAUGGCGAAGGCAGCUCUCUGGGACGGUACUGACGCUGAGACGCGAAAGCGUGGGGAGCGAACAGG
rnacentral:rRNA from 1 species